GAAAGAGGGAGCCCAUCAACAAUUAAAGUGCAAACGCCGCAGCUGCCACCACUGAGCAUCUCCAGUUAGGAAUUGGUUUGUUAAGUUCAUUACCCUUUGAGAUGAGUUUUAUCUCUGUUUCACUCAAGAGGAUUCUGAGGCUCAGGAGGUUGUGAAUGACUCGGGGCAGUACAGUUGGUAGGUGGCAGAGUUGGAAUUUGAAUCCAGGUCGAUUUAACUCAGGAGUUCAGGCUUUUUCCCAGCCCAACCUUUCCACUCGACCCCAAUUAGCACAGUCAGAUGCUGGGUGCCAGAGCUCUUUUUUUGCCUGCGGGAGUCCAGGAGCUGGCUCCUAAUGACUCCAUUUGAAAUGGUCUUUUAGGCAAAGGAGACUAGAUAAAUGUGGGGGAGAGGGAAAGAAUUUCUGGCAAAGGGAACAGUACGCGCUACAGAAGAGCAAGGCUUAUUAUUCCCGUGCACUUCCAAACCCAGGCGUGGUGUUCUUCCUGCGCCUUUUACAUCCGCAGCCACUGCUUGGCGUCACCUGGUUGUCCUGUGGGCACCUGAAGCUCAGCUUUUCCCAGGCUGAACACUUGUCUUUCGCUGCCGCAUCUGCCUGCCCUGAGCCCUCUGCGCAGAUAGUGGUACUCCUUACAUGUGCUUGCUUCAGGAAACUGGUUGAAGAGCACCCUUCCUCCAGCCUUGUAGUUGCAGACACACUGACAGCUCCGGAACGAUCUGACACAGGAUCCUUAAUAGGCGUGGAAGUGUUCGCCAGACAGAGAGGUCCUGCCCUUGCCGAUCCCAGCUGGUUCUGUUGGAGAGUCCGUGGGCGUCUGUUUGACAGUAUCUGCCAGGAGCUGCAGAAUAACUUUUCUGAUCUGGAAGAGCAAGUCUCAGAUAUUUUGCACAUUCACAAGUAUUUUAAAACAGUUUCUGUGAGAUGCCAACCUCACCUUUAUAGUAUUUAG
rnacentral:lncRNA from 13 species